rnacentral:lncRNA from 1 species
AUACUAUCCAGAGCUCCAAACUUUGUAGGAAGCCAGAAGCGUCUCCUUUGUUGAACAGUGCCAAAAUAGCAGCUCUGUCUUCGAUUAGAUAUUACUUCUUCUGAACAAUCUUCCUUGAUGACCCAGCUACUUUACAUCUCUGGAUGGAAUCCUCCUCUUUGCUCUAAUGAGUCUGUGGCUGUGUGUUGAAAUAGCAGAGCCUUGAGAUGAGAUCCUUGGAUUACUGUAUGGAAGAGAGCCACCUAGUAAAGACACUCAACUCACAUUGAAGUUUGUAUGAGUGAGAAAAUCUCUGUUGUGGUAAGAUACUGAGAUUUUUUUUUAAGUUACUGAUAUGGUUUGGCUGUGCCCCCACCCAAAUCUCAUCUUGAAUUGUAGCUCCCAUUAUCCCAUGUGUUGUCGGAGGGAACCUGUGGGAGGUAAUUGAAUCAUGGGGGUGAGUUUUUCCCAUGCUGUUCUCAUGAUAGUGAGUAAGUCUCAUGAGAUCUGAU